GACGAACGCUGGCGGCGUGCUUAACACAUGCAAGUCGAACGGAAAGGCCCUGCUUUUGUGGGGUGCUCGAGUGGCGAACGGGUGAGUAACACGUGAGUAACCUGCCCUUGACUUUGGGAUAACUUCAUGAAACUGGGGCUAAUACCGGAUAGGAGCUCCUGCUGCAUGGUGGGGGUUGGAAAGUUUCGGCGGUUGGGGAUGGACUCGCGGCUUAUCAGCUUGUUGGUGGGGUAGUGGCUUACCAAGGCUUUGACGGGUAGCCGGCCUGAGAGGGUGACCGGCCACAUUGGGACUGAGAUGCGGCCCAGACUCCUACGGGAGGCAGCAGUGGGGAAUAUUGCACAAUGGGCGGAAGCCUGAUGCAGCAACGCCGCGUGCGGGAUGACGGCCUUCGGGUUGUAAACCGCUUUCGCCUGUGACGAAGCGUGAGUGACGGUAAUGGGUAAAGAAGCACCGGCUAACUACGUG
rnacentral:rRNA from 1 species